GAAACUCCAUUGAGGAACUCUGCCAUAAAUCAGCAUGGCUUCUCUGAUCGCUAACACACUGGCCUUCUUUGGCGCUCGAUCACUUUCCCAGAUGGCAGAGGUACUGAGAGCACGUCUUAUCUGCCGCCUGCUGAUGCGCUGCCUGAGAAAGUUCCAGGCCUGUGCAUGACAUCAGCCGCUCCAUCGGCCGUCUGACGAGGGCUAUCAGUGGACCCCCUGAUUCCUCCCCUCUUUCACCUCUCUGGCUCUGGUGAUUUUGGACUAAUGAAGGGUCAGCAGGAGCAUUCCCAUGGACAACCAUACGAUGUUUGCUCAGUUGGCCCGCAGUGUUUUCUCAGGCCAAGCUCUGUACUUGUGAGGGUCACACAUGCUUCAUGAGAGGGAAACAGCUCGAUACUGAGAGUCUGAUAAUGCUUUACAAGCACCACCUUUCUCUAACUUUCUCCAGCU